rnacentral:rRNA from 1 species
AGGACAGGUGCUGCAUGGCUGUCGUCAGCUCGUGUCGUGAGAUGUUCGGGUUAAGUCCCGCAACGAGCGCAACCCUUGUCUUUAGUUGCCAUCAUUAAGUUGGGCACUCUAAAGAGACUGCCGGUGUCAAACCGGAGGAAGGUGGGGAUGACGUCAAGUCCUCAUGGCCUUUAUGACCAGGGCUACACACGUACUACAAUGGCAGGUACAAAGGGCAGCCACUUAGCGAUAAGGCGCGAAUCCCGUAAAACCUGUCUCAGUCCGGAUUGGAGUCUGCAACUCGACUCCAUGAAGUUGGAAUCGCUAGUAAUCGCAGAUCAGCACGCUGCGGUGAAUACGUUCCCGGGCCUU